GAUCCUGGCUCAGGAUGAACGCUAGCUACAGGCUUAACACAUGCAAGUCGAGGGGAAACGAUAGAGAAAGCUUGCUUUUCUAGGCGUCGACCGGCGCACGGGUGAGUAACGCGUAUCCAACCUGCCCAUCACUUGGGGAUAACCUUGCGAAAGUAAGACUAAUACCCAAUGACGUCUCUAGAAGACAUCUGAAGGAGAUUAAAGAUUUAUCGGUGAUGGAUGGGGAUGCGUCUAAUUAGCUUGUUGGCGGGGUAACGACCCACCAAGGCGACGAUCAGUAGGGGUUCUGAGAGGAAGGCCCCCCACAUUGGAACUGAGACACGGUCCAAACUCCUACGGGAGGCAGCAGUGAGGAAUAUUGGUCAAUGGACGAGAGUCUGAACCAGCCAAGUAGCGUGCAGGAUGACGGCCCUAUGGGUUGUAAACUGCUUUUAUAAGGGAAUAAAGUGAGUCUCGUGAGACUUUUUGCAUGUACCUUAUGAAUAAGGACCGGCUAAUUCCGUG
rnacentral:rRNA from 1 species